rnacentral:rRNA from 1 species
GGGUUGUGAGGUUAAGCGACCAAGCGUACACGGUGGAUGCCCUGGCAGUCAGAGGCGAUGAAGGACGUGCUAAUCUGCGAUAAGCGCCGGUAAGGUGAUAUGAACCGUUAUAACCGGCGAUUUCCGAAUGGGGAAACCCAGUGUGAUUCGUCACACUAUCAUUAACUGAAUCCAUAGGUUAAUGAGGCGAACCGGGGGAACUGAAACAUCUAAGUACCCCGAGGAAAAGAAAUCAACCGAGAUUCCCCCAGUAGCGGCGAGCGAACGGGGAGGAGCCCAGAGCCUGAAUCAGCAUGUGUGUUAGUGGAAGCGUCUGGAAAGGCGCGCGAUACAGGGUGACAGCCCCGUACACAAAAGCGCACAUGUUGUGAGCUCGAUGAGUAGGGCGGGACACGUGGUAUCCUGUCUGAAUAUGGGGGGACCAUCCUCCAAGGCUAAAUACUCCUGACUGACCGAUAGUGAACCAGUACCGUGAGGGAAAGGCGAAAAGAACCCCGGCGAGGGGAGUGAAACAGAACCUGAAACCGUGUACGUACAAGCAGUGGGAGCCCCACCACUAAGCCAGUGGUGAACUCCACAUACGCAUCCUUUGCUGAAGGUGCGGUUAACGGAGCGAAAGCGACGUUCAACCUCAAAAGAAGCAGAGGGGGCUUAGUGGUGGGGUGACUGCGUACCUUUUGUAUAAUGGGUCAGCGACUUAUAUUCUGUAGCAAGGUUAACCGCAUAGGGGAGCCGAAGGGAAACCGAGUCUUAAUUGGGCGUUAAGUUGCAGGGUAUAGACCCGAAACCCGGUGAUCUAGCCAUGGGCAGGUUGAAGGUUGGGUAACACUAACUGGAGGACCGAACCGACUAAUGUUGAAAAAUUAGCGGAUGACCUGUGGCUGGGGGUGAAAGGCCAAUCAAACCGGGAGAUAGCUGGUUCUCCCCGAAAGCUAUUUAGGUAGCGCCUCGUGAACUCAUCUCCGGGGGUAGAGCACUGUUUCGGCUAGGGGGCCAUCCCGGCUUACCAACCCGAUGCAAACUGCGAAUACCGGAGAAUGUUAUCACGGGAGACACACGGCGGGUGCUAACGUCCGUCGUGAAGAGGGAAACAACCCAGACCGCCAGCUAAGGUCCCAAAGUCAUGGUUAAGUGGGAAACGAUGUGGGAAGGCCCAGACAGCCAGGAUGUUGGCUUAGAAGCAGCCAUCAUUUAAAGAAAGCGUAAUAGCUCACUGGUCGAGUCGGCCUGCGCGGAAGAUGUAACGGGGCUAAACCAUGCACCGAAGCUGCGGCAGCGACACUGUGUGUUGUUGGGUAGGGGAGCGUUCUGUAAGCCUGCGAAGGUGGCCUGUGAGGGUUGCUGGAGGUAUCAGAAGUGCGAAUGCUGACAUAAGUAACGAUAAAGCGGGUGAAAAGCCCGCUCGCCGGAAGACCAAGGGUUCCUGUCCAACGUUAAUCGGGGCAGGGUGAGUCGACCCCUAAGGCGAGGCCGAAAGGCGUAGUCGAUGGGAAACGGGUUAAUAUUCCCGUACUUGGUGUUACUGCGAAGGGGGGACGGAGAAGGCUAUGUUGGCCGGGCGACGGUUGUCCCGGUUUAAGCGUGCAGGUGUGUGUUCCAGGUAAAUCCGGUUCACUUUAACACUGAGGCGUGAUGACGAGGCACCACGGUGCUGAAGCAACAAAUGCCCUGCUUCCAGGAAAAGCCUCUAAGCAUCAGGUAACAUCAAAUCGUACCCCAAACCGACACAGGUGGUCAGGUAGAGAAUACCAAGGCGCUUGAGAGAACUCGGGUGAAGGAACUAGGCAAAAUGGUGCCGUAACUUCGGGAGAAGGCACGCUGACACGUAGGUGAAGUGAUUUACUCAUGGAGCUGAAGUCAGUCGAAGAUACCAGCUGGCUGCAACUGUUUAUUAAAAACACAGCACUGUGCAAACACGAAAGUGGACGUAUACGGUGUGACGCCUGCCCGGUGCCGGAAGGUUAAUUGAUGGGGUCAGCGCAAGCGAAGCUCCUGAUCGAAGCCCCGGUAAACGGCGGCCGUAACUAUAACGGUCCUAAGGUAGCGAAAUUCCUUGUCGGGUAAGUUCCGACCUGCACGAAUGGCGUAAUGAUGGCCAGGCUGUCUCCACCCGAGACUCAGUGAAAUUGAACUCGCUGUGAAGAUGCAGUGUACCCGCGGCAAGACGGAAAGACCCCGUGAACCUUUACUAUAGCUUGACACUGAACAUUGAGCCUUGAUGUGUAGGAUAGGUGGGAGGCUUUGAAGCGUGGACGCCAGUCUGCGUGGAGCCGGCCUUGAAAUACCACCCUUUAAUGUUUGAUGUUCUAACGUGGACCCGUAAUCCGGGUUGCGGACAGUGUCUGGUGGGUAGUUUGACUGGGGCGGUCUCCUCCUAAAGAGUAACGGAGGAGCACGAAGGUUGGCUAAUCCUGGUCGGACAUCAGGAGGUUAGUGCAAUGGCAUAAGCCAGCUUGACUGCGAGCGUGACGGCGCGAGCAGGUGCGAAAGCAGGUCAUAGUGAUCCGGUGGUUCUGAAUGGAAGGGCCAUCGCUCAACGGAUAAAAGGUACUCCGGGGAUAACAGGCUGAUACCGCCCAAGAGUUCAUAUCGACGGCGGUGUUUGGCACCUCGAUGUCGGCUCAUCACAUCCUGGGGCUGAAGUAGGUCCCAAGGGUAUGGCUGUUCGCCAUUUAAAGUGGUACGCGAGCUGGGUUUAGAACGUCGUGAGACAGUUCGGUCCCUAUCUGCCGUGGGCGCUGGAGAACUGAGGGGGGCUGCUCCUAGUACGAGAGGACCGGAGUGGACGCAUCACUGGUGUUCGGGUUGUCAUGCCAAUGGCACUGCCCGGUAGCUAAAUGCGGAAGAGAUAAGUGCUGAAAGCAUCUAAGCACGAAACUUGCCCCGAGAUGAGUUCUCCCUGAGACUUUGAGUCUCCUGAAGGAACGUUGAAGACGACGACGUUGAUAGGCCGGGUGUGUAAGCGCAGCGAUGCGUUGAGCUAACCGGUACUAAUGAACCGUGAGGCUUAACCUUACAACGCCGAAGCUGUU